CCCUUAGACGUUCUGGACCGCACGCGCGCUACACUGACGAAGGCAACGAGCUUUCCUUUACCGAAAGGUACGGGUAAUCUUUUGAAACUUCGUCGUGCUGGGGAUAGAUCCUUGCAAUUUUUGAUCUUAAACGAGGAAUGCCUAGUAAGCGCAAGUCAUCAACUUGCGUUGAUUACGUCCCUGCCCUUUGUACACACCGCCCGUCGCUACUACCGAUUGAAUGGUUUAGUGAGGCCUUCGGAUCCGCGACUCGUUUGUGGAGAAGUUGGACAAACUCAGUCAUUUAGAGGAAGUAAAAGUCGUAACA
rnacentral:rRNA from 1 species